GACCCGCGGGGCAAAGCCCAGCCGAUCUGUAGCGUGGACUGCGCCCACCGCUUGUGCGGUAAACGUCGUAGGCGGUCUUCCGGAUCGCUCCGGCGCCCCAGUGUCUCAGUGCGGGUUCCACAGGACUGCGGGUCCACUUGCCAGACUUGCAAAAAGUUGGAGUCGCAGGAUCCCUCCUGAGAGCGAGCUGAACCGCACGUCAGCUGCAGAAGACCGGAGAGUCAGUCAGGUGGGGCUGCGGCGAGCAGGGGCUGGAACGGCUCCUCCGCUACUGGAGGCUCCGGCGAGCGGAUUCCGAGGCUCCUGCCCCGCCCCUCCGCACCCACAGGUUCGGGCCAGCGGGU
rnacentral:lncRNA from 1 species